AUAAGCAUUAUACGGCGAAACUGCGAAUGGCUCAUUAUAUAAGUUAUCGUUUAUUUGAUAGCACAUUACUACUUGGAUAACCGUGGUAAUUCUAGAGCUAAUACAAGCUAAAAAUCCCGACUUCGGAAGGGAUGUAUUUAUUAGAUUAAAAACCAAUGCCCUCUGGGCUCUCUGGUGAAUCAUGAUAACUGCUCGAAUCGCAGGGCCUCGUGCCGGCGAUGGUUCAUUCAAAUUUCUUCCCUAUCAACUUUCGAUGUUUGGGUAUUGGCCAAACAUGGUUACAACGGGUAACGGAGGGUUAGGGCUCGACCCCGGAGAAGGAGCCUGAGAGACGGCUACUACAUCCAAGGAAGGCAGCAGGCGCGCAAAUUACCCAAUCCCGACACGGGGAGGUAGUGACAAUAAAUACUGAUACAGGGCUCUUUCGGGUCUUGUAAUUGGAAUGAGUACAAUUUAAAUCCCUUAACGAGGAACAAUUGGAGGGCAAGUCUGGUG
rnacentral:rRNA from 2 species